rnacentral:rRNA from 1 species
UUUAAAGUCUAACCUGCCCAAUGAGGAAUUAAAUGGCCGCGGUAAUUUGACCGUGCAAAGGUAGCAUAAUAAUUAGUUUUUUAAUUGAAAGCUGGAAUGAACGGUUGGACGAGAAAAUAACUGUCUCAAUUUAAUUGAAUGUAGAAUUUUAUUUAUAAGUAAAAAAGCUUAUAUGAAUUUAAAAGACGAGAAGACCCUAUAGAGUUUUAUAGUUUUUUAUAGUGAGGGUAGUUUAGUAUAUUAAUACUUUUAAUAUAAAAACCUAUUUUGCUGGGGCAGCAGAGAAAUUGAAUGAACUUUUUUUAUAUUUUUACAUUAAUGUAUGAUUUAGUGAUCCAUUAUUUAUGAUUAUAAGAUUAAAUUACCUUAGGGAUAACAGCGUAAUUUUUUUUUAGAGUUCUUAUCGAAAAAAGAGUUUGCGACCUCGAUGUUGGAUUAAAAUUAACUUUUGGUGUAGGGGCUAAAAGGUUAGGUCUGUUCGACCUUUAAAAUUUUACAUGAUCUGAGUUUAAACCGGCGUGAGCCAGGUUGGUUUCUAUCUUUAAAUAAAUUGGAUAUCUUAGUACGAAAGGAUUAGAUAUUUUUAAAAUUUAAUAUAUUUUGAAUAGGAAUAAA